CCUACGGGGGGCUGCAGUGGGGAAUAUUGGACAAUGGGGGCAACCCUGAUCCAGCCAUGCCGCGUGUGUGAAGAAGGCCCUCGGGUUGUAAAGCACUUUCAGUGAGGAAGAACGCCUGGUGGUUAAUACCCAUCAGGAAAGACAUCACUCACAGAAGAAGCACCGGCUAACUCCGUGCCAGCAGCCGCGGUAAUACGGAGGGUGCGAGCGUUAAUCGGAAUUACUGGGCGUAAAGCGCGCGUAGGUGGCUUGAUAAGCCGGUUGUGAAAGCCCCGGGCUCAACCUGGGAACGGCAUCCGGAACUGUCAAGCUAGAGUGCAGGAGAGGAAGGUAGAAUUCCCGGGGGAGCGGUGAAAUGCGUAGAGAUCGGGAGGAAGACCAGUGGCGAAGGCGGCCUUCUGGACUGACACUGACACUGAGGUGCGAAAGCGUGGGUAGCAAACAGGAUUAGAUACCCUUGUAGUC
rnacentral:rRNA from 1 species